rnacentral:tRNA from 1 species
UGGUCUAUGGUGUAACGGUAACACGGCUCCCUGUUAAGGAGUUUUUCUAGGUUCGAAUCCUAGUAGACCAG